rnacentral:ncRNA from 1 species
UAACUCAUUCAGUACAUACAGUAAUAACGAAGGUUGACCCAAGGCGAGUUCAAUCCGGGCAAAAACCACACAUAGAGCAAAGAGCAAAUGCUGGCUUGAUCUCGAAGUUCAGUACGCAUAUAAAUAGCGAAACCUCGGCCUAUCAAUCCUUUUAAAGAGUUUUUAACAAG